rnacentral:lncRNA from 1 species
AUGUCACCAAAUUAUUUUGAAGUUAAUUCAUUCCAAUUCAAGUCAAUUAUAACAAAAAAAGUCACACUCCAUUUUUUUUCUGUGAAGAGCAAAUAUUUCUUGUUCACAUCUUCUCAGAAGAGCUAUUUGAGCAGGUCUGAAAAUAGAACCUGUUUGGAGCAUGCAGGAUUGUUUGUUCUACCGAUUACACCGCCAGCACAGUUUGGAGACAGCAAUACGCAGUUGGCCCCUUGGUGCUGCUCAGGUGUUGUUUCAUUGUCCAGAACCCCUUUGACAUCUCUCCCUUCGGAUCUUCCGCCUUUUUUAUUUAGACUUUCUGGUGCCUCCCAAAGAGUGGAAUCUAAGGUCAGCUGGUGGAUAAACGUUGCUUCCUGUGUGGGAUGCUACCCAGCCCCUGAGAGGAGUCACAGCACAUACUUCAUCCACUUUCAUCGCUGUUCACUGUCAUACCAGCAACUCUGUCAUCGUCAAGAUUGCAAGUCUGCAUCAGGCCUUAAAAGGAGUCUCUGCCUCCAAGGACGAAGGAGCCAACCCAUUCUGAGGACCUGAGUUCCUGGAUCAGAAUUAUUGCUUCUGCAGGGGAAAUUGUGGGGAGAAUUUCAAGCUUUAGGCAUGAUGGCUGACUUAAACUGCUGAGGUAAUGAAUGGCUGCAAGAGGGAGGAAAAUCCAAAAGGUUUCUAGGAGGGAAUCA